GAAACCGAGAAAAGCCCCGCUUGAAAGUUGUUUGGUUUGUUUUCCUUGUUUCAAAUUGCAACUUCAUCAUGAUGAAAAACGACAGGAAAUCAAAAUGAACGUUGGAAAGCUGAAAGGGAACUUUAAAGACGGACCUGAAAACAAAAUCCACCUGUAUGGAUAGAGGCAUUUUUCCCCCUGUUUGUUCCUCCCAUAUUAAUCCCUUUAUGCCUAGAGAGAGGAGACGGACCCCGCAAGAGGCAGAGAAGGUCCUCAGCCCCGAUGAGCCACGGGGGCCUGCAGCAGGCAGUGGUGGCCAGUGACAAGUCACAGCCUCUCCUGACCUGGGAGCUCAGGGACAGAAGCCAGCUGAGGACCAAACCCUUCCCAGGGGCUGAUGGAGGAGCUGGGGGAGGCAGCAGCAUCUCGCUCGGCUGCAGCGCGCAGGUAGGAGCAGGGAGGAGGCGACGCCUGAGCCUUUGCCCAUGUUUCUGCUGAGUUGAAAUGCCGGCUCGAGCAGGAGCCGAGGCUCUGCCCGGUGCCAGAUCGCUCACCAGCCAGAUGGCGCCUUCUGAAGCUCUUCCACCUUCAUCCAGGCUUCAAGGGAUGCGGGGAAGGUGUUUGCAGGCAAGUGUCUCUCCCUUUUUUCUUCAGUGAGUUCACAGCCUUGUGGGCAGGUUUGUGCUGGUGUAAGUUCAGAGCAGAGCAUGAUCCGAGCUCAGUUUCUCCUUUCUGUUGGAGAGCAAGUCUGAGUAUUGACGUGAGACCGCCUGCUUCGUGCAGGAACCUCUGUCCUUUUCCCAGCACCUCUUCCGCUGCCUUCCGCCUCGCAUCGGGCAUCCUGCAGGGAGCCAAAGCACUGCCUCACCUCUCCAUCAGUCCUGCGCAGUUGUUGGGGGAAGAAACGAGGAACUGCUUUUGUUUCUGCAAAUUACUUUGGAGAGGGAUUUGUUGGUAUUAUUAUUACUCUUUUUUAUUAUUAUUAUUUUGAGACUUAUGGAAAGUGAGACUUUUAUUUGAGACUCGUGGUAGGCUGGUGUUGGAAACGUGCACAGCAAGGGUGAAAACUGCAUUUGCCAUGCAAUAUGCCUGCGUCGGCCUUUGGUGGAACUAGGACAACACAGAGUAGUAAAACAAAAAGCAGAACGUGUCCAAAGCUUCAGGUUAUGUAAGGAAUUAACUGGUGAGGGAGGGAUGGAGCAAAAUGCCCAUGCCACAAACCUCGAGCUCGGAGAGCAGACGGGGUUUGUGCCCGGGCGUUGCUGUUCCCCCUUCCCAGCCAGGUGAGCACAGAGCUCGGAGGGGGACGGGGUGCGUGCAUGGAUGGCUGGGUUGUGCCACGCGUGCUUGUGUGUCCGUAGGGCUGCCACACCUGGCUGAGCUGGAGACAUCGGCUUCUUUGAGCAGUACCCAGGCUGUGAGCCGGAGCGGAGCCAGCUCUCAGUCCAUCGCCAGGAACAGCUCUUCCCGCUCAGUGUGAUGGGUGCCCGCAGGGAUCGCCGAGAAGGGUGAAAACGUGUUGGGGAGGGAAUAGAGAGAGGAGAGAGGUGGGGGAGAGGCAGUUAAGGAGAGGGAGAGGACUGAGUGAGAAGCAGAAGGAGAAUGCUCGAGGAGGCAGAGAGAUGCGGAAAGGCAGCUCCGGCACGGAAGGAGAAGCACUGGCUGGAGAACCAGCGGAGGGGACAAGCCAGCGCUUGUUAAAGGUCUUUUUGCCUCUUUGUAGGGGUGAUAAUUUGGAAGAUAAGAGCCUGGCAGCAAAGCCUGUCUGGAUGAGAGUGGGAACGUGUCUUCCUUCCCCUUUAAAGAGCAGAGGGAGCCACAAAGCAACCAUAUGGAUUUGCAGCAGGGUUUGCCAACAGCUUCUGCUUUUUUGAGGGCCAGAUCCAAUAAAGGACGUAGUUAGGCACAGUUUUGCCUUCCUUUCAAGCACCUGAAGUAAAGUACAUGCAUUAGGAGGUGGAUCUAAAAUCUCAGUGCUAAAACAGGAAACCUGGGAUGAAUGCUAAAACCCAUGCAUUUCUGAUCAAGUUUGUAGAAAGUCCCAAGACCGCUCCCGAGGGGCUUUUCUUCCAAGAACUGCACAAGGUUCCUUCCUUUCGUCUGAAGGUGUUAUCGCCGUGGUGUGCGUGAGGCCACCUCCCCAGUGGAAAUGUGCUCCAAGGUUUGAGGAGGAAUGAUCUCCUGACAAAGCCGUUCAGAAGGCAGACACGAUCGCAGGCUGUAACGCCAUGGAAAGGGCACAGCAGAAAAGUCAAACGUGUCUUCGGGGAGACAGAGCAAAAUCCUACUGGAAUUAAAGAGAAAUAUAGCCAGCCUUGCAAUGAGAGGCGGCGUGGGUGAUGGCACCUGCUGAAUGGCACAGAGUCACAAACCUGCUGGCCUGAGCACAUCAGGCUCUGAGAUGCCUCCUACACCGACCUGGCUGCAGGGAGGAAUAGGAACAGCCUGAGGGCUUCCCCGCCACCCCUCCGAGAAGCACCAACACCCCUCAGGGCAUCCGUCUGCUGCCUCAGUGCGAAGCAGAGCCAAGAAACGGAACAAAAUCGGAACGGAAAUCAAGGAAAUCAGGCCGCCAGCCUCCCCUUCGAGGGAAUCUGAACCUCUGCAGAGCUGCGAGCCGCGGGCCGUUUGCCUGAUGAAAUGACCAGUGGUUAUUGCUGCCUUCGUGGCCAUGGGAGCUUGGCCCCUGCCAGCUUUGGGGGCAGGGACGGGAAGGUUUUGGGAGCGUGGAAGGGCUCAGUGGGUCUGUAGGAGGGCUGGGGUCAGAGGGGGACAGGCGUUAGCUCCCCCAGAGCAGCCCCUUCUCGGGCACCCGUCUCCUUUUUCUCCUUGUUCCCUCUGACUCACGCUCUGCCAUCCCGGCUCUGCCAGCUCUUCAGCAGCCUCAUCUUUUUCCAGUCUCAGCUCUUGCCUACUAAUGUGUUCCAGGCACAGAAAUUUCAUUAAGGCUGCGCUGAUGUCCAUGGGCUUCAGCCCCAGACUUCGUCAUUACGUGGCUUUUAUUUCAGCCCGCACACAGAUCACCCUCUGGUCCGAGGUGGCGGGAGGAGGUAGGCAAAGCAGAAAAAGAAGCAAACAGCCCACCCCUUCCAUCCGUCCCGGGCUGCCAUCAAGCAGCCAUCCCUGUCCUAAUGAAAACAGAUGCACAGAGAUAAAAACGAAGCAAUAAAGACCACGUUUCACUGGUGCUGUGACAGUGCUUAACCCUGCCAGAGACGAGAGGGAUGGGCUCAGGACUGCUGCCCUGGAAAUGCUGCUCCUCCUCGGGGCUCCCAGCUGGCUUCCCUCGCUGCCUUCACCCCGGGCGCUGACCCCAAUGGUUCAUUUAAUUGGAGGCAUUUGGAAACCGAGUUCUCUCGUUUAGCUCUGUGGAAGGUUUUAAUGUGGGGAUUAUUUAGCCAUUAGCUCAGGCUCUCGGUUUUUCCGGAUUAGGAUUCCAACAAGCUACUUGCCUGAUUAUCCUCAGUGACAUGGACGGGCCUGAGCGGCAGAGCUCGGAGCUGGAGCCAGAUGUAUUUCUCAUUUGGGGAUGUGGCUGAAGGUUUUUUUUUCCCAUCCUGGCCUUUGUUCAGACCCCUGGCACCGAAAAGCAAUCUGUAAUACCCAUCAGCAUCCUCAUCCUCCUAGAAAAGAGAGCUCAGAAAGCGAGUCUGCACUGCCUGGAUACAGCGAGGAGAGGGUUUUAUGUUCCCUCAGUGACAGAAAAAUCCUUGCAGACAUCUGGUAAGAAUCCUAAAGUUUCAGGUGAAUCUGCAGUUCAUGUCCUGUAGUGACAUCAAAUGUGUCUGCAAACUUCUUCCUAGCUGUAGUCUGAGAACAAACUUUCCUCCCUUUCCCAGCGAGCCUGCCCUGCAUCAUUAAUUCAGGCGAGGACGCUGCUGGCUUGCAGGGGUUGUGGCUCUGCUGGGCACAGCUCUGCUACUUGGGGCUGGAGCGGAAAGAGAAGCCUCCGAGACAAGGGCAGGUCAGUCCCUACCCCAGAGAGUCCAGGGAACGUGGAUGCUGGGAAAGCAGAAACUCCAUGUAUCGUUCCUUCUUGGGUGGAAGCUCCUAUCUGCUCCCAGGAAAGCUGCCGUUGAUAUCCACAGACUCACUUGGAAGACUUCGGGAAAGACUCUUUAUAUUUUCUCUCUGUUUUGUUACUGCUGUUCUGAAUUUAAAUCCAAUUACGCUUAUGGAAGCAGUCCAGGGCAAAAAGCUCUUUUCCUUCUAGCAGAAGGAGAUCUGCUCCGGCAUCAGGUGUCUUCAGCUGAGCCCGCAGAGCUCUGAGGAUCACUGCGUGGAGGGCCACGGGUGGCAGGGGGCAUCUGAUUCAGAGCUAAUCGGGGCAGCUUGCAGCAGAAGGAGCAUCCGUCAUCCUUUCCUUACCCUGGGCCACUGCUUGAUGGGUCAGUCAGAUCCAAACACUUUCAGAGGACUUUUUUUUGUAGGAUUUCUUUUGAUGCAAUUUCUUUUCCUCUAAACGACUUCCAUUUAGAAAGGAAAUUUGUAAAACUGAAGCAAGUCCUGUAGGUUAGUAACAGAAACAAAACUCAUUUUUCCUCCGAGAAGACAUACAUUUGGCAAUCCAUGCAGCUCAUCUGCGAGAGACAGAAGCUUCCUAAACAUCCAGCCCCAAAUUCCUCCAAAGCUCAGGCAGCCUUCAACCAGAGAGCUCAUUUUGUUCCUCGUUAGUACAAUCCGAGCUGCAUUUGCUCUGAUGUUCGACCCCUUGGUGCUGGUGGGUGUCAGCUGCAUGCGGUCCGCGGGGAGCUGCGGUCCUGCUGCGGGCGGGUGGCCCUGAGGUCCUCGUCCCGUUGUGUCACCAGAGGGUGGCCGUGAGGAUGAGGGCAUUUGCUGGCUGCUGCUGGCUCUGGCUUUGCUCUGGGUGAGCCCUUUAAAUGCAGUAGCAAUGAGCCUCUGCUGUCAGGCUGGAGGGACGCACCGGGACUGCACCGCCUGCAGCCACCGUGUCUUGCAGGGGGCAGAGGACGGCUCUCUCCUAUCGGAGAACCCAGCGAAGAGCAAAACAAAUAAUCUCCUCUUGCCUUUUUCCAGCCAAAAGGCUUUUGCCAAUUACAACUUGAUAUCCAGGCCAGUUUAAUAUCUGAUAUUUAGAGUGUAUUAUCUGAUCAUGUGAGCUGAGCUCGUGGUUUUCUGUCCCAUCGGCUGGGGCCACACCCGGAGGACGGACGGAGCAUCGCAGGUGGUGGGGAGGCGAUGCCAGAGCUGGGCAUGCACAGCAGAGGUCCCUUCUCUGUCCAGCAGGUCUGGGGAACAGCAACUACAGCCCUCAGGCCGUUCCAGUGCCUGGUGCCUGUCACUUAAAUGAUGCUUGACCUUUUACUGUAGUCCUUAUUUUAUGGUCCUGCUCCCUGCAGGGCCCGCGGGGCUCCAUCCCCACACAGGACGGCUUUCCUCUGUCCAACCCCAUCACGGUUUUGCCCAUCUGAUGCUUCUUUGCCGGCGUCAGCUGUUGUCUGCACGCAUAGGCCGUGUUAGCAUUGAUUCUUCCAGCUGCCAAAGCAGAACAAGGCUUCUGCUUGAGAUGUUUCCCCUUCGUGGAGCUCCCUUUUCACGGACCUUUAGCAGAGGAGGAGGAGAGGGGAUGGGGGAGAGAGGGAGGAAGAGAAGAGGAGGAGGCCGAGUGGUGCGUGCAGCUGAUGGGGAGGUGUCAGACAGGCGCUCCUGAGCACUGCCUGAUGUGACCUACUUCAGUCGUCCUGGGAGAGGUAUUUGUCUUGCAACAGCUCUUUUUGGAGCAAAACAGACUAUGAUCUCAAGGAGCCGCGGGGUAUGAGCCAGGUUUCCAGCGGUGGCUCUGUCCCUACUCCAUGCUCCGCAGGGAGGGGAGCGCCUGAAGGCCUGUCCUGGUCUGGUGUCCCUGCGGCACCGCUCAGUGCCAGGUGGGGACCCGUGGGGACACGGGAAGCAAAGCGAGGGAAAGGUACUGCAGGGUGCUGGUGUUCUCCUGAGCUGCACGUCCUGCCUGGGCUGGCUUUCUGCUGGGACUCUGCAUGGUGGCCAGCUGGGAGGUAAGCUGGCUGGGGGCAGAGGCAGCACAGGACCAGGAGGGCCCGGCCUUUACGGGUACAGGUACUGCUCCGUGAGGGUCAUUAAAGCCUCAGUCAUUAGGCUGUGUGUGCAUAAAGGGCUCAUCUGCAUAGGUCUGCCUAGUGGCCUCGAAUCUUUUCGCAGGCUGAGAACCAGCUCAGACCCCCGGGUUCUCUGGAUCUUUUUGUGCUUCAAGCUGAGGAGCCCGAGCGCUCUCCAGACCUGGGCUCAACGACAUUUUAGUAAGGUUUUCUCCCCUUCCCUCCAAACACAAGGAGGGGAAAGCGUUUUUCCCUUACCCACAGUUUUGGGGAGACGUGAAGACCAGCCAGGGUCACAGGGUUUGUAUUUUAGAGGGGAACCCUGCAGGACUGCACAACCCAAGCAAGCACCUGGCUGCUCCUCGCUCAGACGAAGCCUUGGGACCUGCACCCAGCAGGACACACACCCCUCCGGCUGCCGAGUCAUUUUGUAGUGCCCUUGGCCAGAGAUUUGUCUUCGCCUGUUAGUAUUUUACCUAAUGGUUUGUUACCCUUCUUCCUUCCUCUCUCUCUUUCCCUUUUUUUUCCUCCUUUCCCGGAGCAUUUCGAUGUGCUUUCUGAAUAUAGCUACAUGAAGCAAAUGGCGAUACCAGACUGAUAAAUUAGUGCUGCGUUAGACCCUUGUAUUAGCUCAGGCUAGUGAUUUAGCCCGGUGCAGGAGCUGCUUGCGUUCGCUGUGUUCAUGCACCAAGAGCCAGCAGCUCUCGCAGCGAGCUGACACGUGUGGGCAGUGCCCUUCGCGCCCGGCCCCCGGCGGCACACCGCCGUCGCUUCCUAUUUGUCUAACCCCAGGGCACGCCGGGUGAGCUGGUGCAGGCGAAACCUUUUAAGAGGGGAAAGAAUGGGAAAUGAAAUAUUUACUUUUUGUUUUUACUUGCUUGCGGUGGAAGGAUAUUGAUGCGGCGUAGAUGGAGCAUUAAAAUCAGAAUUAUGCCGGGGAAGAAAAAAAAAAGCCAGGCAUAAAUUAGCGGCGUUUGCUUCCUCUGUGGUUUAAGAGUUAGCAUUACGCCAGCACCAUAUAACAUGCCGGAGAUGUGUUUGGGGAGCUGCCGGGCCAUAAAUCACGGGGAGCAUUUAAAACGACAAGAAGAAAGGCCACCUCGAGAUGGAUGGGUGUCCGGAGCGGGGAUGUCCGAGGGUGACCAUAAACAAGGCAGGAGACGAGGCGGCCGGAGCGGGAGGGGAGUGGGAGCCGGGGGCUGAGGUCAGAGCCGACCGCUCGUGGGACGUGUUGGGGGGAAGCUGGCCUGCAGACGGAGGGGUUGAGAGAAGUACGGGCUGGGGGAUGACAACCCUGCUUCCCACACCUCUGGAUUUCUAAAUUACUUUUGUGUUUUUCCCCCUGUGAAACAGCAAAAUGUUGUAGUAUUCAUUUUCCGCUAAAAAGGUCAAGUUUUCGAUUCUGCUUUCUCCUCCUGAUAAGAACUAGUCAGAAAACCCCAGACCUUGUGUACUUCCUGCAGGAUAUCUUCAUCACGUCUGAGGUGCCCGUACAAAAUCGUUGCCUAACAUGCACGUUGCCAAAAACGCUCAGUGCUGAAGUUCCUUGCCUCCUGUUUCCUCCUGUUGAAGCAUAAUGACAAUCUGUGAUCCUAACCACGGCUGAAUUCACCCCGAGGAGGAGAGGUGCCUUUUCCUCACCCUGACCUGCCCCCGUCCUCCGCCUGAAGAUGCUGCCACGACUCUGAGCACUGCAGGACCCCGAGGGCUUGGUUCAAGGAGCCCUGUUGACUUUACAGGGAUUAUUUUAGGGAACAAUGGUGUGAAACCACUCUCGGCUCUCCGUCCCCUGGAAAUCACAGUUCAAAUGUGCCUGCAGUCAGGGGAGAAAGUUGUCGUGCGGCGGCGGCUCUCACCGGUGCUGCAGCUGCCACGCAAGGUUAGUGAUUUUUUUGGCACGGUCACCAAGCGUGUUCUCACACUUCCAGUAACAAGGAAACAACAAGGGCAUUCGCUCUUUGGAGAAGUGCUUCAGUGGUGCUCUUCACAAAGAGGACCUGAAAAAGAGUGCGAUUCGAGUCAGGUUUGGGAUCGAUACCCAGCCCUGGGGUCAGGCUGGAGUAAUGCUGGGGAUGGAUGGAGAAGGCAGGAGAAGCAGCGAGGGGAAGGACUGGGAGGGCAGCCGUGGAUGGCUCUUCGGAGGAAAAGCAGGGCUCCUUGGCAGGGCUGUGAGGGCUCGUUGGGGGGUGCAUGAUGCAGGCUCGGGAUGGAGACAGCCCGCGUUACUACAGACUGCAAGGAAGCGUGAUCCUGGUGGCCUGGAGUCUCUCAAACCCCAGCCCUUGGCUUUGAGGGUCUGCCUCCCUCAGAAACGCCAGCCCCCUGCGGAAGAGGCAGGCUGUAAGCAGCUCCAAAACCGGGGCUGUCAGCACAGGGAAGCCACUUUAGCAAGGGAUCUGUGAGAUCUCCAGAGGGCCCUGCCUCUCUGCGGAGAGGAAGGCAGAAACUGCUUGCGAGGGUGAUUAAUUCAUCAGCAAAACAUUAAUUAUCCCAGUGACUCCAUUCAUUAACCUCUGAAGUGAGAGGAACUGGCCCCUCUCCAUCUCCAGAGAAAUUUAGCCCCUUCCUGCUUCAGUGCUGGAGUUUCAGGUGCAGAAAAUUAGGUCGGGUACAGGAACCUGUUAAAAAUGGGGCCAUGUGGGGAGCCACCAUCCUGCAAGCAGAAUCAAACACAAGGCCGAAAUCUUGCAGACACCAGUGCACCAUUGUGUCAGCAGGACUUCUGACUUACCCAGACAGGUAGGUCUGAACAGCACGCUUACAGCACAGUUGUUCCCUUAGAAAAACUGUGCUUGAGAUUCCCCAGCUCUGUGCAACCCAGAAAAUAUCCUGCCAGUUGGCCAACAGAAUCCAUGGCUACGUCCCACUGGGAUUGCAGAUAAUCUGCUCUGUAAGAGUUGGUCUGAAGAGAGAUAGGCUUAGGCAUGUAUGUAAAUAUUUCUUUGGCAAAGAACUUCAGUACAAAAACAGUUCAUGUGUGUGGCGUGAUCCUGAAGCUGCCCCUGUGUUUGUAAAAGCCUGCAUCUGUUAGAUAAAAAUAGCGAUGAAGCUUGGAAAAGGAUGGAAGCUGCUCUUCUUCAAAGAGGCGGUGGUUCUGUGCCUGCUCCUGACGCUGGCUGGCUUUCAGCUCGCCCUGCUCCCUCCCUGGGCCUCGGUUUUCUUCCAUGCAAGCUGCUCUACCAUCUAUUAAUUAGAAGUGCUGCAUGAGAGCUGAAAAAUAACAUUAUUUCUGGGAUGCAGCACACCUCUGCCCCAGGGAGACAUAAUGACUGCAUCUGAAGAGCCAUGUGCUGGUGAAAUUAAACUUCGUGAUCUGCUCGAGUCAGGAACGAAUGCAGUUUACAGCUUGCAGCUCAGCAGUGCAUUUUCAGUUGGAGUUAACGCUUCAGACCUCAGUUUCCUCUUAGCUGUGUGUACCUAUAUGUAGGUAUAUGAGCCUUUCUCUUCAUGUGUUGGGUGCCAGCAUCCCCCCUAACUCCAUCCUACCCUGUGUGCUGGAUCGCUGUCGAGUUCCCGGAGUAUGACUGAUCUCUCCUAAGUGCUGGAUCCUGAACUGGAUCCGUCCUGGUUUCAAGAUCCUUUCCAGAAGCCCUAGCGAAGCCAUUCCAGACUUCGAUAAUUUCAUUUUUAAAAAGCUUUCAAUUUCUUUUGACAGGCCUGGAGUGUUUAAAGAUGGCAAAGUGAAGGAGAUAAAUAGAUUAUUGAUCGGACAGGCUUGUAAUUCCUUAGUGAAUUGGAUUUAGCUCCUUCACUGAGAUCGGGUCUCUGCCAUAAAUCUCCCAAGGAAUCAAUAAGAUGGAGAGCGCCUGGUGAGGAGCCCUGCUGCUUGUUUCCAUGGCCACAGGUAGGGGCUGGGAGCAAGCCUCCCACCAGCGGGGGGGGGCAGGAACCUGGAGCCACGCGUCUCCGCCGAGCUGACCUUGGCAAAUGGUUGUUCCGAUGGCACCGAAGUGCUGAUGGCAUCAGGAACUGCGGUGCGGGGCUGCAGAGGCAUCGCCCACAGGGCCUGUGUUUGUCACACCGCGGUAACGCCGCCUGCCAUCGGCGCUGUAACGAGUUACCCUGGCGUCAAGCAGCAGCUGUGCUGCAGAGGCUGCAGGUACACGACCUGGCUUCCAGGUGCCUCUGCGCCAGGAUGGAUUGCUGCCAGCAGGUGCAGGUGCUGCCGUCCGUGCCAUGUCCCCUCCAGGCUCCGAGGCACGGCGGCCGGGUGCUCGAGUCCCACCCGCCUCCAACCUGGGGGCAGCUCCAGAGCCUUCCCUGCUGGGCUGGGCAAGGGCUCGGACCGUGGUUGGAAAGGCAGAGGGAGCUGCCAGCAGCGAGGAUGCCAAAAAGCCCAAACUUCUGUGAACUCCCUCAUGUAGCUCACAGUGCCAGGGCAUAAAACGAGCUGCAGCCUUUUCGGUUUGCCUCAAGGGUCUGCGCGCCUGGCACCGGCACGGGGUCUGCGGCUGCUGAGAGCUGUGUGCCAGCCAGUGCUUCACCCUCGGGGACAGCAAGAGGGUUAGGGCUCAGAGCCCAUUGUCCGCAAAAGGCUUCGUGGUCUGUUGGCUUGAAAUGAUUGUAGGUUUGGGGCUGGAAGUUUGUGGAUAUCUGGGUUGAGAACACAUGAAGUCCUAUAUGGUGUGCUCCUGCGAUGGUGUGCAGGUCAGUGUCAUUCCCCAUCCUCCCCCAAAUCGGUACAUUCAGAGCAGAGAGACAACAACGACUUCCCCAAAAUUAUUCAUGAGCAAACCUGUCGUCACAUUUAAUAGAUGAAUGAAAUCAAUGCUCAUUUAUAUAAAUGCCAUCAGAACACGCAAAAUAUCCACCUUCCAGACAGCAUUUUGUCCCAGGCAGGUGUCCCUUCUCCCUCGAGUCCUCAUCAGCCCCUCUGUCCUUGCACAGCUGAGCUCUUUGGGCUGUCUGUGGCUUUUCCCAGAAGUUCAGCCACUUUGCAGAGCCCCCCGGAGCCUCGGGCCUCAGCAGAGCGGGCUGGAGGUCUUCCAAAGCCGGGCUGAGUUGGGAGAGCUCCAGUACUCCGUGUUUCCAACCGAGCUGGCAAGAGACAAAAUAGCUUUUUUCACUCUAUUUCAUUCUCCUUCUGGUUCUGGCUGUACCCCAAAAGGCAGAGAGGCAAUGAAAGGGAUAGGAGGAGGAAAUCAGCCGGGUCUUUCCGCUCUUGAAGGAAGAACCUGUGGUCCUCGAGUUUGGAUCUGGUAUGGGGAGCGUGUAAGGGAUGUCUGCCCACCUUGCUCACGUGUUGUAACUAAGAGGCAUUUUAUUUAGAGCCAGUAAAAAAAUAAAUGUUGGUUUCCUAUCUGCCAUAGGAAACAAAUAUAGAAUCUGUCUUUUUUUCUGGUUUCAAGGAAAAAAAUCCAAAAAUCUGUCAUCGGGAGCAUUUAGGGGGUUGAG